UACGUAGGGUGCGAGCGUUGUCCGGAAUUACUGGGCGUAAAGCGUGCGCAGGCGGUUCGUGAUGUCUGAUGUGAAAGCCCCGGGCUCAACCUGGGAACUGCAUUGGAAACUAGCGGGCUGGAGUGUGGCAGAGGGGGGUGGAAUUCCACGUGUAGCAGUGAAAUGCGUAGAGAUGUGGAGGAACACCGAUGGCGAAGGCAGCCCCCUGGGCUAACACUGACGCUCAUGCACGAAAGCGUGGGGAGCAAACAGG
rnacentral:rRNA from 1 species